AUGGCGGACAGAAAGGAGAAGGAAGGGGAGGAAGAAAAAUUGAACAAAAUUAUAACUACAUUGGAACAUCUUAAAUUAAACAUGGAGAUUUUAAGACGGGGAAAUGAGCAGACAAGAGAGCAAAUCACACAAAUUAAUAGCAAACUCGGGCUGAUAGAGAAUAAAGUAGAAGAAUGCCAAGAAAAGUUUAAGGAGGCAGCAGCGGAGAUCAGAAGACAAAAAGGUGAAUUAAUCAUUCUGAGAGACAUUAAUAGAAAACUUCUAGAUAAAGUUGCUGACCUCGAGGACAGAUCCCGAAGAGCCAAUCUGCAUUUGAGAGCAGCAGGAGAGAGUCUUCAGAUAAAGGAGAAUCUGAAGGGGGUUAUAACUGAAUGGCUUACAACAAAUGCUCAAGUCCCAUCGCAAGAAAUCGAGAGAAUUCAUUGGGCUUUCAGAGGAGGCAGGAAACCCAAGGAUAUUUUGAUACGGUUCACAAGGGAGGCUGAAAGGGACAUUGUUUAUCGAAAAUUGCGGAAAAUGAAGAACCUGACCUUGGCUGGCAGUAAAGUAUGGCCACUCCUGGAUUUAUCUUCAGAGACAUUGGGAAAGAGAGCAGAAAUGAGGGAAAUUACAGGAACUUUGGAAAGGAAAGGACAACGUUAUACCUGGGCUUUUCCAGCCACCCUAAUUGUAUAUAAAGACAAUAAAUUAUAUAAAGCUUCCGACUUGGAAAGUGGGAGGAAAAUGCUUAAACAGUUAAAACUGGAUACAGACGGAAAAGAAACAGACGGUCUGGAGGAGGAAUCAGAUAAGACCAAGGAAAAGCCGACUGGACAAGAAGCAUCGAGGGAGCUGGAGACUGCAGAGAGAGGCGGACCAACAAAGACAGACUUACUUCAGAGUCUAUUUGCAAUGGGAGAUCCAAAGGACAGGGAAGAAAAGAGAACUUUAAGGAAUUUGAAGGACCUGGAUUUAGAACAAAUUAAAUCUAUAGAAAAACAAUUAAGAGAUCUUAAAAAACAGAAAAUUAGAGAGGAGAAUAGAAGAAUUGAAACGAGAUCUUGUACAGAGACUUAA
rnacentral:lncRNA from 1 species